CGUGACGAACAUAAUCAAACG
rnacentral:miRNA from 1 species